rnacentral:rRNA from 1 species
UUGUCUUUUAAUUGAAGACUAGAACAAAAGAUUGAACAAUUUAAUUAAUAUAUAAAUAUUCAAAUUUAUUUUAUAAGUUAAAAAACUUUUAUAUAUAAGGAAGACGACAAGACCCUAUUAAACUUAACUUAAGUUCAACUGGGGCAGUUAAUCAAUUAUCAUUUUAAUAAAAAUAUAAAAAUUAAUGAUCCAAUAAAAUUGAUUAUAUGAUCAAGUUACUAUAGGGAUAACAGCGUAAUAUUAAUCUAAAGAUCUUAUUUAAAUAAAAGUUUGCGACCUCGAUGUUGAAUUAAUAACCUAAUUAUUGUAAUAAAUAAAUAAAGGAAGUCCGUUCGACUAUUGAAAAAUUACA